rnacentral:tRNA from 1 species
AAAAAAUUAGUUAAUUAUAACAUUAAUUUGUCAAGUUAAAAUUAUUUAAAAAAAAUAUUUUUUU